rnacentral:misc_RNA from 1 species
CCGAGUUUACAACUCCCAAACCCCUGUGAACAUACCACUUGUUGCCUCGGCGGAUCAGCCCGCUCCCGGUAAAACGGGACGGCCCGCCAGAGGACCCCUAAACUCUGUUUCUAUAUGUAACUUCUGAGUAAAACCAUAAAUAAAUAA